CGACUCUCGGCAACGGAUAUCUCGGCUCUCGCAUCGAUGAAGAACGUAGCGAAAUGCGAUACUUGGUGUGAAUUGCAGAAUCCCGUGAACCAUCGAGUCUUUGAACGCAAGUUGCGCCUGAAACCAUUUGGUUGAGGGCACGUCUGCCUGGGCGUCACGC
rnacentral:rRNA from 3 species